CACGAACGCGACGCAUGCACACAUGGAUAUGUUUCACUGAUGCUAUUGACAGACAUAUGUACAUUGUGAGCAUACCAGGUGACAGACAAGACAACCCAGCUGCUGGUCUUUGAUUCCCUGCAGAAACUGAUCCUGCUAAGGACAGAUUUGAACAGGCCUCGACGGCUCCACGCAGGUGACAUCUGCUCUGAAAGCCCUGCGUUGGAGUGGACCGCAGACAAGCAGGCUUUACCCGAGGACAGAGUGGGGGCUGGGUGCAGGGAGGCAGACAGGCAAUGUUUCAAGAAGGGCUUCUCCCAUCCAGAUCCUUUUUCAAAACAUCUAUCUAAUGUGUAGAAUGGAUCCAGUUCCAUUUGAAAAGAGGAAGUGCAUUUGUAGCACUGCUGUAGUCCAUUUCUACGUCAGUGUUCUACAUUUUCUGCUUCCUGAGCAGGUCCCUGUCUCCCAGGUAGAACGAGGCAGUUACAUCAACAGUCAUUCAGGAAAGACAAGCCCCAGGCAUUUGCAUAUUUCAUCAGUAACCUCUUUAACUGUCAUGAGGAACAUAACAGACCCCUGAGGCCAGCACUAGAACAGCACUAGCAGUUUAACAGGCAGCACAGAUGCAAUCAUGUUUUUCUACCCACACCAACGAUUAUCAAAAUGUUAUGUCAGUUAUGAAGCAAAAGAGAGAUACUGUAAGGUACAACCUAUUAGAUUAUGGUGUGUGUACAGGUUGCAUGGCCUCAUUUGUCAAAAGUGUGCAUGCUAUAUUUUUUUUAUGUUGGUGGUUGUGGUACUGUAUGUGGGCUGGACCAGUGAGACAACAAGGAUGUGUUGUUAGUCAUGUUCAUAUUUGAUACCUAAAUGUCUGUUCAAACUAUGGCCAUUAUGUUUUAUUUUCGUUUCCAUCCUUCUGGUACACAGGGAUAGGUUCCUCGUGGAACAAAUAUGUGGAGGUUUUCAAUUGGAGGUGUACUGUAGGGUGUAGUCUGGCAGUCCUCAGAGCGGUGGAGGUAACCAGGAUACAGCAGGCUAGAAGAGCUCCUUCCUCUGGCUCUAAACAAAUAUUUACUGGAGCAUAGUCAAAUAGGCAGGGAGCUGGAGUUCUCUGAUGUUGUAAUGUAAUGGGACAGCUUUCCUUAUGCACUGCGUACUGGUUCAUAAAAAGGACAUUCUAGCAUAUGUGUGUUGGAGCACCUGAGCUACGAGUUUAGAAUGCAAUCUCAUGAAUUUCCAUUUCUGAUGUGUAAAUGUUAACGCUCAUCAGAUGGGAUAGUGCUUGCCAUCUUCAGCAAG